UAAGCUUCUAUUAUUAAUAUAUAUAAUUUAUCAGUUAAAGUAAUUUGAAAUAUAUCUGAUAGUAUAAAUAACAAUACCGGGCUCAAACGAGUCUAGUAAUUGAAAUAUGUACAAUCUAAAUCCCUUAAUGAGGAUCUAUUGGAGGGUAAGUCUGGUGCUAGUGGGCGCAGUAAUUCAGCUUCAAUAGCGUA
rnacentral:sRNA from 1 species